AGUGAACGCUGGCGGUAGGCCUAACACAUGCAAGUCGAACGGCAGCACAGUAAGAGCUUGCUCUUACGGGUGGCGAGUGGCGGACGGGUGAGGAAUACAUCGGAAUCUACUUUUUCGUGGGGGAUAACGUAGGGAAACUUACGCUAAUACCGCAUACGACCUACGGGUGAAAGCAGGGGAUCUUCGGACCUUGCGCGAUUGAAUGAGCCGAUGUCGGAUUAGUUAGUUGGCGGGGUAAAGGCCCACCAAGGCGACGAUCCGUGGCUGGUCUGAGAGGAUGAUAAGCCACACUGGAACUGAGACACGGUCCAGACUCCUACGGGAGGCAGCAGUGGGGAAUAUUGGACAAUGGGCGCAAGCCUGAUCCAGCCAUACCGCGUGGGUGAAGAAGGCCUUCGGGUUGUAAAGCCCUUUUGUUGGGAAAGAAAAGCAGCAGGUUAAUACCCCGCUGUUCUGACGGUACCCAAAGAAUAAGCACCGGCUAACUUCGUG
rnacentral:rRNA from 1 species